CCCCUUUCAGGAUUGUACCUGGAGAGUUUUCAGGACUCUACCAGUCUCGACUAUCGGAGGCAGAGGCAAACAGAGCCCUACCCCUUCCAUUCCUAGCCAGGACAGUGGCUAGCGAAUGGAAGGCAAUCUGCUACAAGU
rfam:Ornithorhynchus anatinus chromosome 7, whole genome shotgun sequence.